AUCCAGCAAACGAGUCCUAAAUAGUACGAAAUGUGCAUCCUGGAU
rnacentral:hammerhead_ribozyme from 1 species